rnacentral:rRNA from 1 species
AGCGAACGCUGGCGGCAGGCUUAACACAUGCAAGUCGAACGCAUCCUUCGGGGUGAGUGGCAGACGGGUGAGUAACACGUGGGAACGUACCCUUCGAUCUGGGAUAACUUCGGGAAACUGGAGCUAAUACCGGAUACGCCCUUUUGGGGAAAGGUUUACUGUCGAAGGAUCGGCCCGCGUCUGAUUAGCUAGUUGGUGGGGUAACGGCCUACCAAGGCGACGAUCAGUAGCUGGUCUGAGAGGAUGAUCAGCCACACUGGGACUGAGACACGGCCCAGACUCCUACGGGAGGCAGCAGUGGGGAAUAUUGGACAAUGGGCGCAAGCCUGAUCCAGCCAUGCCGCGUGAGUGAUGAAGGCCUUAGGGUUGUAAAGCUCUUUUGUCCGGAACGAUAAUGACGGUACCGGAAGAAUAAGCCCCGGCUAACUUCGUG